rnacentral:rRNA from 1 species
AACGAACGCUGGCGGCAUGCCUAACACAUGCAAGUCGAACGAGACCUUCGGGUCUAGUGGCGCACGGGUGCGUAACGCGUGGGAACCUGCCCUUAGGUUCGGAAUAACUCCCCGAAAGGGGUGCUAAUACCGGAUAAUGUCUUCGGACCAAAGAUUUAUCGCCUUUGGAUGGGCCCGCGUUGGAUUAGCUAGUUGGUAGGGUAAAAGCCUACCAAGGCGACGAUCCAUAGCUGGUCUGAGAGGAUGAUCAGCCACACUGGGACUGAGACACGGCCCAGACUCCUACGGGAGGCAGCAGUGGGGAAUAUGGGACAAUGGGCGAAAGCCGGAUCCAGCAAGGCCGCGUGAGUGAUGAAGGCCUUAGGGUUGUAAAGCUCUUUUACCCGGGAUGAUAAGGACAGUACCGGGAGAAUAAGCUCCGGCUAACUCCGG